CCGAGCUCCCACGCCCCCUCCCCGGCCCAGGGACCUCGAGGGAGUGGGAACCCCAGGAGACGCCGAGGAGCAGGUGGCGGCGUGGGGAGGAAGACGCUGGGGCCCGCGGCGCGGCGAGAGGGGCCGGGGGCCCGCUCUCCUGCAGCCCGCCACUCUGGAGUCCUCGCGCCCACAACCGGGCCGCCGAGACGAGUGGCGCGCGGGAGAACGAGGGAACCGGUUCUCCAGCACCUCGCCUCCUCUCUGCUACUCCCUCCGGGGCGCCGAAAGGGCGAGAGAAGCGCGGGGGCCCCGGGGCGGCCUCGGGACCGACGUCCCCCUCUGCGGCCGGUGCUCGGACGCUGCGCUCGCCUUCCUCGCCCGGCUCUGGGCCGCGUUUGCGGACCAAGCCCCCGAGUUAGCUCGCGACCGGGGCGGGGCGCGCGGCGGGGCGGGCGGGCGGGGAGGGCGGGGUGCAGGGGGCGGGGGAGGGCGGG
ensembl:lncRNA